rnacentral:lncRNA from 1 species
CAUUAAUAUUCCAGUACGUCGCCUGAAAGAUUACCUAGUACGUCGCCAGACAUCCCUCCUGUGAAACCCCUCCGAUACUAUAGUGCCAAGCGAUACCUCCGAACCCUCCUAACUGAGGUAAAACAAGCCCAACAUUCCGCAUGGAGUCUCGCCGAGUUAUCUCCACUAAGCUCGCCCAGAGUCGUCAUCAGGAUACUCAUCAGUUGAUUUAUGGCGAAGUAUUGCCUCCUCCUCACCUUUGGGCGAGGUAGAAUACUUGGGCCUAAUUAAUUUCCACCAGAAUCCUAUCUAUACAUGGAAGUUGCCCAUUGCGAGAUUCUCUCCUUCACGGCACCUAUGAUCACGGGAUACUCUCCAGACAGCAAUCUUCCCAAUUAAUUCUCCUACAUCUCCGGAUUACACUUUCAUAUUUGGCCAUCCGAAAAUCUCGCCGUGAUCCGCUCACACGGCCCAUUACUCCGCCUAUAAAAAGGCCGCUCCUCCAUUCAUUAUGAGGUACAUUUUUAAUAGUUCUACACCAUCUUUACUUUAAUUAUCUCCUAGUCAUCUUGGCCUGAUUCGCACGCCGGAAGAGUUUUGAGCGGCCUCACCCCGGCUGUUUACUUUUAUCCGUCUGUGCAGGUCGCUCAAGUAUUUACCAAGGAACAAUUUUAACUAUUGGUUGCUCGGUCCAAAUUUUUACCACAACAAUGUGUAUCUAGAAUUGCUCGAAAUAAAGGUAGCCCCCAACAAUCCAAUACGUGUGAUCUAAAUCAAUGGAAUCUAUCUUGUUUGGUUGUAUUCCUAAACGGAUCUGCGUCACUAAGACGUGUCAUUUAUGCGUACGGAGAUAUAAUAUGAAUGUGGGUCGGUAUUUACUAAUAGAGCAAUUCAAUUUGGACUAAAAAUCAAAACGUUAUCCUCCAUGUGGCUUACACUAUAAAUACCAGGUCCACUCGAAGAGCGGGUCUUUG